rnacentral:misc_RNA from 1 species
AACGCACAUUGCGCCCCUUGGUAUUCCAUGGGGCAUGCCUGUUCGAGCGUCAUUUGUACCCUCAAGCUCUGCUUGGUGUUGGGUGUUUGUCCACCAUCGUGGACUCGCCUUAAAGUCAUUGGCAGCCAGUGUUUUGGUAUUGAAGCGCAGCACAUUUUGCGCCUCUAGCCUAGAACCCUAGCGUCCAGUAAGCCUUUUUCCACUUUUGACCUCGGAUCAGGUAGGGAUACCCGCUGAACUUAA